rnacentral:tRNA from 1 species
GGGAUUAGCACAGUGGUGGAGCACGUGCUUAGGAUGCAUGAGUCCUGGGUUUAAUCCCCGGUACUUCCA